UACGUAGGGUGCAAGCGUUGUCCGGAAUUAUUGGGCGUAAAGAGCUCGUAGGCGGCUUGUCGCGUCGGCUGUGAAAACCUGGGGCUCAACCCCGGGCCUGCAGCCGAUACGGGCAAGCUAGAGUUCGGUAGGGGAGACUGGAAUUCCUGGUGUAGCGGUGAAAUGCGCAGAUAUCAGGAGGAACACCGAUGGCGAAGGCAGGUCUCUGGGCCACUACUGACGCUGAGAAGCGAAAGCAUGGGGAGCGAACAGG
rnacentral:rRNA from 1 species